AAUAGACAAGCCCACAAAUUAAAACCCAACAUAAGCAAACAGAGAACCCUAGCCUUCCUCCUUCCUACUCCACUCUCUCUUUCAUCUCAAAGUCCUCAAACCCCUCAAGAUCCGCCAUUUUUGUCAUUUCUUCUAUUCUCCUUUUUCUCUCUCCUGUUUUGCCGUGAUCAAAUUCUCCACUUUCACUCGUUUUUCUAAGCAUCUUCAUCUCUCACAUCCUUCGAAUGGCAUCCAUGGUGUUUUCUGCUAAAUUUCCCAAUCAAAUGUUAGAUGAUACGGUUUUUAUGAACGAAAAUGAUUAUUCGAAUGACACAUGUAAUCAAAUAAUUUUGUUUAUCUCGCCCUAAAACUUCUGGUUGGAGAGUCCACCGCCGUCGCCGCGACACCAAUUGCUGAAGGUGAUUUGCUGAAUUUCGUCCUCAAUCACCGAAGUGCAGGUGCCUCAGCGGUUGUAUACUUUAGAUGAAUUGAAGCUGCUUCUUUCUUGCCACGUGUAAAUGGAAUUGAAGGAGCUUAUCUCUGGUCAAGCAGGAACAACUUUUGUUGACUAUGAGUUCCUCUAGGAAACCAAUGCAAGAAAAAUGUCAUAUACGGUGUGGUCUCUUUAUGGUACAAGAUUUGGGGAGAAAGAGACAUGAAAUUGGGAUACAUUAGAGGAUUUGCUUAAGAAGUUAUCAAAAAUGAAGAUUUAUAUUACAAUGAGAAGAAUGAAAUAGCAGGAGUUGAGAUAGUAAAGAAAAAGCCAACUCCAUAAAAUGAAGGGAGUGCAUAUUAGUACAUAGCACCUAUUUGACAAACGAAGUGUAUAGGAGGGCAGAAGCGUAAUUUACGAGACAUUAGAAAACUUGAAUAUUUCACUUAACUGUGCUAGUGGUAUAUUUAAUACUUCGAAAAUGUAAUACUGAAAUCACAUUGUUACAUUUAAUCAAAGUAGUACGUACGUUUUGUACUUUAAAUUGUGCCACUAGAAAACCAGUGCCAUCCUAUACACUUUCUAAGCACAUAGGUGCUAUGUGCUAGUACUUAUUCAAAAGAAGGUAGUUUAAAGGUUCUCUCAAUGUGAAGCCAAAGCUUAGAUGUGAGUCCAGUUGUUGAAAACUAUAAUCCUUAGUGUCUUUAAAUUUAUCACUUGUCAUAAAUAUGAGUAACUUGUGUUUCUUAUUUGUAAAUAUAGUUUACAUUGUAAAUUAAGACAAGUUUUAUGAAUAUAGUUUCUUUUAUGUACAUGUUAUACUAUCAGCACUAAUUAAGCUUUUAAAUUGCAAAAAAAAAAAAAAAAAAAAAA